AUUGAACGCUGGCGGCAGGCCUAACACAUGCAAGUCGAGCGGAUGAAGGGAGCUUUCUCUUGGAUUCAGCGGCGGACGGGUGAGUAAUGCCUAGGAAUCUCCCUGGUAGUGGGGGAUAACGUCCGUAAACGGGCGCUAAUACCGCAUCCGACCUGAGGGUGAAAGUUGGGGUUCUUUGGACCUUACGCUAUCAGAUGAUCCUAGGUCGGAUUAGCUAGUUGGUGGGGUAAAGGCCUACCAAGGCGACGAUCCGUAACUGGUCUGAGAGGAUGAUCAGUCACACUGGAACUGAGACACGGUCCAGACUCCUACGGGAGGCAGCAGUGGGGAAUAUUGGACAAUGGGCGAAAGCCUGAUCCAGCCAGGCCGCGUGUGUGAAGAAGGUCUUCGGAUUGUAAAGCACUUUAAGUUGGGAGGAAGGGCAGUAAGUUAAUACCUUGCUGUUUUGACGGUACCAACAGAAUAAGCACCGGCUAACUUCGUG
rnacentral:rRNA from 1 species